GACGAACGCUGGCGGCGUGCUUAACACAUGCAAGUCGAACGGAAAGGCCCUGCUUUUGUGGGGUGCUCGAGUGGCGAACGGGUGAGUAACACGUGAGUAACCUGCCCUUGACUUUGGGAUAACUUCAGGAAACUGGGGCUAAUACCGGAUAGGAGCUCCUGCUGCAUGGUGGGGGUUGGAAAGUUUCGGCGGUUGGGGAUGGACUCGCGGCUUAUCAGCUUGUUGGUGGGGUAGUGGCUUACCAAGGCUUUGACGGGUAGCCGGCCUGAGAGGGUGACCGGCCACAUUGGGACUGGGAUACGGCCCAGACUCCUACGGGAGGCAGCAGUGGGGAAUAUUGCACAAUGGGCGGAAGCCUGAUGCAGCAACGCCGCGUGGGGGAUGACGGCCUUCGGGUUGUAAACCGCUUUCGCCUGUGACGAAGCGUGAGUGACGGUAAUGGGUAAAGAAGCACCGGCUAACUACGUG
rnacentral:rRNA from 1 species